rnacentral:rRNA from 1 species
AUUGAACGCUGGCGGCAUGCCUUACACAUGCAAGUCGAACGGCAGCACGGGAGCAAUCCUGGUGGCGAGUGGCGAACGGGUGAGUAAUGUAUCGGAACGUACCUUUCAGUGGGGGAGUAACGUAGCGAAAGUUACGCUAAUACCGCAUAUUCUGUGAGCAGGAAAGACAGGGGAGUCGCAAGACCUUGCGCUGAUUGAGCGGCCGAUAUCAGAUUAGCUAGUUGGUGAGGUAAAGGCUCACCAAGGCGACGAUCUGUAGCGGGUCUGAGAGGAUGAUCCGCCACACUGGAACUGAGACACGGUCCAGACUCCUACGGGAGGCAGCAGUGGGGAAUUUUGGACAAUGGGCGCAAGCCUGAUCCAGCCAUGCCGCGUGAGUGAAGAAGGCCUCGGUCGUAAGAC